GCUCAUUUCCUUCUUCAAACGCAAAAACCAUUUUCCCUUCUUUGAACGCCGCUGAAAGUCUCUGUCCCCGUCUCUUCUUCUUUCGUUCUUUUCUUCCCGAUUCUUCUUUCUGGUAUGCGUUUUCUCUAUUUCUCUCUGUUUUUAAACUUCCUUUUCCCAUUUGAUUCUCGUAAAUACGACUUCUUACGAUGAUCAAUUUUGCAUGCUCUUUGAUUUCGAGCUUAUUCAUUCGUGGAAUUGAAUUGCUAGCUCUUUUCUAUGUUUUGGUUAUCUCGAGCAUGUUAACCGGUGAAACUUUUAGUGUUUAGAGUUUAGUGUCGUGUCUGAUUGGUGAGUUAAGUGUGGAAGAAACUAGAGUUUUCUUUUUUGAUUUCUUCGUGAUUGAUGAGGACUGGGGGAUUUUAAGAUAAAGAAAAUUUCUACUUGCGAGUUAAGCAUUCAAAAUGAAACCAUUGGGUAAGAUGUGUCAAAUCCUGAAUUAUAAUUUUCGUUGAGUAUUAUUUGAUAAAAUGUAGAAGCCUUUCGUAUUAGAUAUAUAUUUUUUUUUUUGGUAUAUAAAAUGUUGGAAAGGAUUUGUAGAGACCACAAGCAUAUGCAAUCAUUGGUAUUCUAAUCCUCCAUGGAUCAAAAUUUUGCUGUCUUUUUCCAUGCACCUGAAUUUUUUUUGCAAUUUUUAAGAGCACGCCAGAAGAAAUGUAGUUUAUCACCUCUGUUCUGAAGGUAUGGUUUUUUCUGUUAUCUUUGUUUGUGUUUAUAGGAGAUUGGGAUGAUUUUGGAUUUUAUUAAGUGGGGUUUCAUUUAUUUUUUGGUUGAUGAUUAUAGUUCAGUUUUAUUGACUCAUUAUGGAAAGACUGUUGAGAAAGAAGACUUUGAAUAAGUUGCAAAAUUAAAACUGUUUGUGUUAUAGUUUCAACUUGAGGUGGCUAGCAAGGAAAAAAUGACAUCUUUGUUUUGAAUUUUUAAAUUUAUUGCUAUUAUUAGUUUAUUUUUAGGUUUAUUCUUGAUGAUCAAAAAAACCCGAGUCUCUAGUGCAUAAUACUUUUGUGAAAAAUAUGGUAUGGCACUCAAAUUUUCAUCUCUACCGGCUAUACGAGCUCGUAAUUAUACAAAGCCCAUUUAUUUGCCUAUGGAGGUUUUGCAAGAAUCCAUUAGAGCAGUAAAGUCAUAUUGGAGCAAUUGAUUGAUUUAUAGGUCUUUUUGUAGGUUUGGUAGCAAAAUUUUGGUUGAAAGCUACUUAUUUAAAUAGCUUGUUGGCACCAAAACAUGUAUGUUUAUUCUAUCAUUGGACAAACCCUUUACCAACAAUUGUACAAAUAUUACAAAGUGUAUGUUAGCGUAUAUAUAUUAAAGCGUUGACAGUUUGUUUUCA